rnacentral:rRNA from 1 species
AGGACGAACGCUGGCGGCGUGCUUAAUACAUGCAAGUCGAACGAAGCCUAGUCUUUAGUUACUAUAGACGAAAGCUUAGUGGCGGACGGGUGAGUAACGCGUGGAGAAUCUGCCCUCAAGACCGGGAUAACAGAGCGAAAGUUCUGCUAAAACCGGAUAUGCUCUGAGAGCCGCAUGGUUUAAAGAGGAAAACGUUAGUGCUUGAGGAUGGCUCCGCGUCCCAUUAGCUAGUUGGUAAGGUAACGGCUUACCAAGGCGACGAUGGGUAGCCGGCCUGAGAGGGUGACCGGCCACACUGGGACUGAGACACGGCCCAGACUCCUACGGGAGGCAGCAGUAGGGAAUUUUCCGCAAUGGGCGAAAGCCUGACGGAGCAACGCCGCGUGAAGGAUGAAGGCCUUCGGGUCGUAAACUUUUGUCUUUGGGGACGAUAAUGACGGUACCCAAGGAGGAAGCCCCGGCUAACUACGUGCCAGCAGCUGC